ACUUGGUGUUACUGCGAAGGGGGGACGGAGAAGGCUAUGUUGGCCGGGCGACGGUUGUCCCGGUUUAAGCGUGUAGGCUGGUUUUCCAGGCAAAUCCGGAAAAUCAAGGCUGAGGCGUGAUGACGAGGCACUACGGUGCUGAAGCAACAAAUGCCCUGCUUCCAGGAAAAGCCUCUAAGCAUCAGGUAACAUCAAAUCGUACCCCAAACCGACACAGGUGGUCAGGUAGAGAAUACCAAGGCGCUUGAGAGAACUCGGGUGAAGGAACUAGGCAAAAUGGUGCCGUAACUUCGGGAGAAGGCACGCUGAUAUGUAGGUGAAGUCCCUCGCGGAUGGAGCUGAAAUCAGUCGAAGAUACCAGCUGGCUGCAACUGUUUAUUAAAAACACAGCACUGUGCAAACACGAAAGUGGACGUAUACGGUGUGACGCCUGCCCGGUGCCGGAAGGUUAAUUGAUGGGGUUAGCCGCAAGGCGAAGCUCUUGAUCGAAGCCC
rnacentral:rRNA from 1 species